rnacentral:rRNA from 1 species
UACGUAGGGUGCAAGCGUUGUCCGGAAUUAUUGGGCGUAAAGAGCUCGUAGGCGGUUUGUUGCGUCGGCUGUGAAAUCCCGAGGCUCAACCUCGGGUCUGCAGUCGAUACGAGCAAACUAGAGUGUUGCAGGGGAGACUGGAAUUCCUGGUGUAGCGGUGAAAUGCGCAGAUAUCAGGAGGAACACCGGUGGCGAAGGCGGUUACCUGGAGCUUUGCUGACGCUGAUGCGCGAAAGCGUGGGGAGCGAUCCGG